rnacentral:rRNA from 1 species
GAUGAACGCUAGCGGCAGGCUUAAUACAUGCAAGUCGUGGGGCAAGCUCUGGUAGCAAUAUUGGAGCCUAGACCGGCAAACGGGUGAGGAACACGUACACAACCUUCCUUUAAGUGGAGCAUAACCCGGGGAAACCAGGACUAAUACUUCGUAACAUGUUGAAGAGGCAUCUCUUUAAUAUUAUAGCAGCAAUGCGCUUGAAGACGGGUGUGCGCAUGAUUAGGUAGUUGGCGGGGUAACGGCCCACCAAGCCUACGAUCAUUAACUGGUGUGAGAGCAUGAUCAGUCACACGGGCACUGAGACACGGGCCCGACUCCUACGGGAGGCAGCAGUAAGGAAUAUUGGUCAAUGGAGGCAACUCUGAACCAGCCAUGCCGCGUGGAGGAUGAAGGUCCUCUGGAUUGUAAACUUCUUUUAUAAGGGACGAAAAAAGGUACUUUCUUAGAUCGUCUGACGGUACCUUAUGAAUAAGCACCGGCUAACUCCGUGCCAGCAGCCGCGGUAA